AUACGUAGGUGACAAGCGUUAUCCGGAUUUACUGGGCGUAAAGGGCGUGUAGGCGGUCUUGCAAGUCAGAAGUGAAAUUCCUGAGCUCAACUCGGGCGCUGCUUCUGAAACUGCAGGACUUGAGUGCUGGAGGGGAUAGCGGAAUUCCUAGUGGAGCGGUAAAAUGCGCAGAUAUUAGGAAGAACACCGGUGGCGAAGGCGGCUAUCUGGACAGUAACUGACGCUGGGGCGCGAAAGCGUGGGGAGCAAACAGGAUUAGAUCCCCUGGUAGUCCACGCCGUAAACGAUGAAUACUAGGUGUAGGGGGUAUCGACUCCCUCUGUGCCGCAGUUAACACGAUAAGUAUUCCGCCUGGGGAGUACGGCCGCAAGGUUGAAACUCAAAUGAAUUGACGGGG
rnacentral:rRNA from 1 species